GAAAGUAAUAUGUGGCUUUUGCCUUCUCCAAAAGUGUUUAACACCAAAUCACCACUUGUUGUUACCCCUAAUGUUACGUACUCAGCUCAUGACAUCGCGGAAUUCCUCAAGGAUAUCGGGUUUCCUGAAGGGGUUCUGCCUUACACAUCGCGUAUCUUGCCCUUGGUUGAAAAUUUGGUAACUAGUACUGAUCAAGUGCCUAUCACUUGUGUAAUUGGUUGUGGGGUUAAAACUCCCGAGACGUUGUUGUAUGCAGACGGGGAUUUUGAUAAGUCGCCUGAGAUUGUGUAUGGGGAUGGCGAUGGGACUGUUAAUAUGAUAAGCUUGUUGAGUUUCGAAUCAAAUAAGAGUACUUAUCAACAUCUUAAAGUCAUCAAGUUACAAGGAGUUUCACAUACAGGUAUACUAAAAGAUGAAAUUGCACUUGAGAAAAUAGUUGAAGAGAUUUCAUUUAUUAACUCUGAUAUUUCACUAGUUUCAAAAGCUUGAUCACGAUUCAUGAUGUUUCUUGUUUGUUCUUCCCUUAUUGUUCAUAUUCAUGUUCGUAAAUAUGCUUUUAUGUGCACAAGAGUACAUAA
rnacentral:misc_RNA from 1 species